GAAUUUUGUGAUGCUGGCUUGCCUUAGUUAACCCCUAGCUUUUAUUUUGUGUGCUGCCAGCUUGCCUUAGUUAACCUUUAACUUUUACUCUUGACUGUUCUUUCUUUAUGUAAUAAUUGUUUGCCCAGUGGUCUGUUGAACAGCCCUGUCGGUUUUCUGUUUAAAGUUUGUAAUUAAAACCUUUUUCUUUACUUGUGUUGCGGGCUCAUGUAUGUUACUCCUUCCCUGACGCCUAGCAGAGGGGGUUGUAACAUAAGUGGCGGCUCGUCCGGGAUCCUCCUUUUCCCCAUAAGGAGAAUUCCCUUUUGUGAAAGAGAGAACGUGUGUUUUGCUCAAUUUUGGGAUUUUUUUCUUCUUCUGCCCUUUUCCCUGUUUUGAGCGCCAUGUCGGCUCCAUUUUGUUUAGAGGAUUUUUUGAAAGCUCCAUCUGUUGUGCUCCUUGAGAGCUGCCGCAAAUGCGAAUUGCUGAAAAUUGCAGAACACCUUAAGCUACAGGUCUCUAAAACACUCCGUAAGAGUGACUUGAAAAAGCGGGUAGUAGACGAGUUGGUGGAGGCUGGUUUAAUGCAAGUCCCUGAUCUGCCUGAAGUGCCUAUGGUCUCUGGUGAGCCUAGUCAAACUUCCUCAUUUGAGGGGGACCAUAAAGAUGGUACGGGUCAUGACAGUGUGGGAGAUGAGCGGGGGAAGACGCCGCGCACGCUCCCUCGCUAUGAUCCCCUUUCCUCUGGAAGCUCAGAAGCACGGGACGGGGCCCGGCUAAAGAUGCGCUUGGCACGGCUCCAGUUGGAGGCCGAGGAGAAGGCUCAAGCCAGGCGAGCUCAAUUACAGCUUGAGAUCAGAAAGCUGGAAAUAGAGGCAGAUAAGACAAUGAGGCUGCGUAAGCUGGAGCUGGAGUCUCAGCCACGAGCCUCAUCUGUCUCCGCUGAUGGUCCAGGUUCUGCCCCCGUGUCUACUACUCCUUAUGACAUUAGUAAGUGCAUUUCUUUAGUGCCUGCAUUUAAAGAGGCUGAGGUGGAUUCUUAUUUUGCAGCAUUUCAGCGCAUUGCUGGUGCUUUGCGGUGGCCUAGUGAGAUCUGGCCCCUUUUAUUACAGUGUAAACUGACUGGAAAAGCCCAAGAGGUGGUAGUUGCGCUUCCCUUAAAAGACAGUUUGGAGUAUUCUUGUGUUAAAUCAGCUGUGUUGCAAGCAUAUGAAUUGGUUCCAGAAGCAUACAGGCAGAAAUUUCGGCUACAGAGGAAACUUCCCUCCCAAACGUAUGUGGAGUUUGCCAGGGAAAAAGGUAUCCUCUUUGACAAGUGGUGCUCUGCGUCAAAAGCCAGUGAUUAUGAUUCAUUGCAUGAAUUGAUGUUGCUGGAAGACUUUAAAAAGUGUCUUCCAGAGAGUAUAGUGUUAUACCUGAAUGAGCAGAAAGUAACCACUUUAGCAACUGCAGGAGUUCUCGCAGACGAGUAUGUGCUCACCCAUAAGUCCUAUUUUCUGGUUGGAAUAGAGAUGGGUUAUGCUCCUAAACCAGUUCACAAAGUCUAUAUCAAAUCAGAACUCGUUACGGGAUUUUUCCCCGUCGCAGUAUGCCCAACCUUACCCAUAGAGGGGGUUGCCAUGUUGCUAGGAAAUGAUAUUGUGGGCGGAUUAGUGCGUCCUAGUCUAGAGGUGCUGGAUAAGCCCCUCAGUUCUGAUGCCCCAGAGAUUUCUGUGACCCCAAAGCUGUACCCAGCCUGUGUGGUUACUCAUGCCCAAGCACGUAAAGACGGUUACGUUACCCUCGCUGAUUCUGUGUUGAGGACCUCAUUUUCUGAGGAGGGUGUCGCGUUAUCUGAACAAAACAAUGUUUUGUCUCCACCAGACUUUGUGAACCCUAAGGAGCCUGGUCCAUCUGAAAAAGAUAUUCCACUGCCUUUGACCCGAGAAAACCUGUCGACAGCUCAGAUAGCUGGCAAAUCAUUAAAGCCAUGUUUUAAGCGUGUGGUAAGUGCUGAGCAAGCCAGCCAUGAGCAACAAGCCUGUUCCAUAGAACAAAAUGUGCUAAUGCCCUUCGUGCCUCCCGCUUCGAUCUUUGUUGAACUUGUUCAUAUUGCUGAACUUUGUCAAACCUUGGUGCAUGUGUAACCACGGUAACUUCUGUCCCUACUAACUGCCAGUCCCUUUAUUGUGGCGGGAAUGAACCCUGUAGAAGUUCCGGGUCAAUCAGCUGCAUGUCCCUGCUCCUCUGGCUGCUGUUGUCCCUGUGGUUGGCGUACUUGUGAGAUAUCGACAAAUUUUACACUACAGACCAGUUGACAGCGUGCAAUAACCCGGCCGAUUCAUUCAUCUUUACACCACCUCACAAUCGACUCAACGGUGGGACGGCUACAGUGUCCUCUGCUGCUGGUUGUAGGUGAGGAUGAUCAGAACUGGCCAUCCCAAGAGUCUGCAUUGGAU